UACAGAGGUCCCAAGCGUUGUUCGGAUUUACUGGGCGUAAAGGGUGCGUAGGCGGUUGGGUAAGUCAUGUGUGAAAUCCCUCGGCUCAACCGGGGAACGACGCAUGAAACUGGCAGCUAGAGUACCAAAGAGGGGGGUGGAAUUCCCGGUGUAGCGGUGAAAUGCGUAGAUAUCGGGGAGGAACACCUGUGGCGAAGGCGGCCCCCUGGUUGGAUACUGACGCUGAUACGCGAAAGCGUGGGGAGCAACAGG
rnacentral:rRNA from 1 species